rnacentral:rRNA from 1 species
GUCCACGCCGUAAACGAUGUCGACUAGCCGUUGGAGACCCUCGUGGUUUUUAGUGGCGCAGCUAACGCGAUAAGUCGACCGCCUGGGAAGUACGGCCGCAAGGUUGAAACUCAAAUGAAUUGACGGGGGCCCGCACAAGCGGUGGAGCAUGUGGUUUAAUUCGAUGCAACGCGAAGAACCUUACCUACUCUUGACAUCCACAGAAUCCUGCAGAGAUGCGGGAGUGCCUUCGGGAAUUGUGAGACAGGUGCUGCAUGGCUGUCGU